rnacentral:rRNA from 1 species
UACGAGUGCCUCAAGCGUUAUCCGAAAUCAUUGGGCGUAAAGGGUGUGUAGGUGGCAUUGUUAGUCUCGCGUUAAAUCUACCGGCUCAACCGGUAGGCUGCGUGGGAAACGGCAAAGCUAAGAGGACGGUAGGGGUCUCUGGAACUCAUGGUGUAGCGGUGAAAUGCGUUGAUAUCAUGGGGAACACCAAAAGCGAAGGCAAGAGACUGGGCCGCUCCUGACACUGAAACACGAAAGCGUGGGUCGCGAAUGGG